rnacentral:lncRNA from 1 species
GGGUUGUUGCGGGAUCUCACAGGCUUUAAACCGCGGCGCCGCGGCGCCCGGGUGUGGAUCCCUAGAUGGGAGCCGGGGAUGGGCCGGGUGCCUGGUGGGUGGCAGUCGGGGCUGACGGCGGCGGCACUUUGCCGCCUCAGGCCCUGGACACCUUCACCCCGCCGCCUGCCCAGGCGGGCCGGCCCUGCCCGUCCACCGGCCGCCGAGAGUCCCCGGCCUUGGGUCCCCGGGGCCGCUGACUGGCCUCGGUCACCUCCCGGGGAAGGCUCCCGCGCCUCCAUCUGCCCCCGCAGGAAGGGACCCUCUUCUCGCCCGCGAGGCUUCUCCGGGUGGGAUCGUCCUGGCCCCCAGCCCUAAGGGAUCCGCCCCCUCCGAGCAUCCGCCGCCCCUCGGAGACCACUCCAGCUCGGACGGACCCACUCCAGCCCCCGCUGCACGCGGAAGCGCUCAUCCUCCCCGCCUGCCCCGUUCCCUCCCCCUUCUCCUGUGGGACAACCAGGGACCGCAGCUCCCCGCUCCCCAGGUGUGGGGGCUCCGACACGAACGCCUCUGCUCGCAGGGCGGUGAGCGCAGAUCCCACGGGUCCCUCGGUCGGGGGUCGAGGCUGCUUCCGUUUCCAUCCCGGACCCGACAAUGGGCGGGAAAAAGAAGGCUUUACACGACUACGCGGCGGAGUUCACCGACCUGGUGGUGAAGCACCUGAUUGAGCACAGUGACUCUGGGGACACGUCUGUGGUGGAGACCCUUUACUGCAGGGCCUGCGAGCUGCCCGUGCGCGUGCGGAGGGACCGCAUCCUGGAACACCUGUCCUCGGGCAGGCAGCACGGCCUGCGGACGCCCAUUCUCAUGUAAAUGUCAGUGCCAACGCUGGUGUUUCAGGAGUCAUCCCAGCGGGCUGCGGGCUAUUUUAGGAUUCUCUGCCCUGCAAACGUUUCCAAAGUACGUGGACAGGCCGCCUGAUGACACUACGUUUACGGGAUCUGCUAGUGGCUUGCCUACUUAGGGAGUAAACCCUGUGAAGUCUCGCAGUUUUGUUAAAGUGUGCGUGGCCACCUGAAUGCUGCCUUAUCACAAGCCAGAUACAUACUGGUCUGUAGGGUAACUCCCCACUGUUGAUCCUCUGAGAUGAUUGUGGACUGGGUGCUGUGAGUCCUGCCACUUUGUUUAAGUGAAUGUGUCUUUUGUCCAGCUCAGCCGCCUCGGAUCUCGCUGCCACCAGCCUUACUGCACACCCGUGCCACCCGCCCUUGCCCCGUCAGCCUCAGCCUCAGCUCAUUCUCUCAGGCAGUCCCAGCAUUGGCACGGUACCUCCUCCCGCUGUGGGCCACACGUCUCUGCUCCCUGUCAACCCUCCUGCCAUCAGCACCACCACCAGCGACUUGUCUGCCCGGGAGGAUGCAACACCAUCUGCCUCCACCGGCCACCUUUCAGUGUUUCCUGCUUUCCAAGUAAAGAUACCAGCAGUGCCCUCAGAGCAGACCAGCCAGAGUUUUUCUGAAGCCUCCCACAGGGUGCUCCCCGGAGGAGGCCCGAGAUGCUCUCGUGACUUUGGAGCCGGGGUGGCUGGCCACCUUGGCCUGGGCAUCUUUGGGGUGGGCUUCGGGAGCCCGGCACUGCUGCAGAGUGUGGUGGAUGAGAACAGCUGCUGCUUGCUGUACGUGGUGGAGGACCAGCUGUGUGAUGUGGAGCAAGCCUUCAGAGCUGAGCAUUUGGGCCAACACCAGAGUGGUUCGGGAACAGGAUGCAGACAUUGUCCUCAACGACCAGCGGCACUUUGAUCCGGUUUUCCAGUUCUUGCACAAGCAAGUUUGUGUCAGCCACGCCCUGGGGAGGAUCCACUGGAUCACCGCCGUCACUGCCUGUUCCCGGCGGCCUCUCCGGCUUCCCUAAAGAGAGCAGUAGCUUCCCUCGAGACCAGAAGCCAGAGCUCACCCUCCCUUGUGUCCAGGUGGGACUUUCUACAACGCUGCUGUGCACGACGUGGAUGCCGUAUGCAUGUUGCUGGGGGAAGCCACUCCGGACACUGUGUUUUCUCUGGGACAUGUCUUCUGCCCAGAUAUGGCCGCCUUAAAAGAUGCAGAUGCUGUUGUGAUCAGCAUGAAGUUUCCCUGUGAGGCCGUGGUUAGCGUGGACAUCAGCCAGCACUGCACAGACAGCUGCGACCAGGACGUCAGCCAGCACUGCACAGACAGCUGCGACCAGAGACUGGAGGUGACCCUUGCCCUUUUCCACCCUUCGCCAGUCCACUGUGAAAAGCUGGGUUGAUUGUGCGGGUUAGAUAGAGGUCAUCAGCCGGGUUGAUUGUGUGGGUUAGACAGAGGUCAUCAGCCAGGUUGAUUGUGUGGGUUAGAUAGAGAUCAUCAGCCUGGUAGAUUGUGUGGGUUAGAUAGAGGUCAUCAGCCAGGUUGAUUGUGCGGGUUAGAUAGAGAUCAUCAGCCGGGUUGAUUCUACAGGUUAGAUAGAGGUCGUCAGCCGGGUUGAUUGUGCGGGUUAGAUAGAGAUCAUCAGCCGGGUUGAUUGUGCGGGUUAGAUAGAGGUCAUCAGCUGGGUUGAUUGUGUGGGUUAGAUAGAGAUCAUCAGCUGGGUUGAUUGUGUGGGUUAGAUAGAGGUCGUCAGCUGGGUUGAUUGUGCGGGUUAGAUAGAGGUCAUCAGCCGGGUUGAUUCUACAGGUUAGAUAGAGGUCAUCAGCUGGGUUGAUUGUGCGGGUUAGAGAUCAUCAGCCGGGUUGAUUGUGCGGGUUAGAUAGAGGUCAUCAGCCGGGUUGAUUGUGCGGGUUAGAUAGAGAUCAUCAGCUGGGUUGAUUCUGCAGGUUAGAUAGAGGUCAUCAGCUGGGUUGACUAUGUGGGUUAGAUAGAGGUCGUCAGCCGGGUUGAUUGUGUGGGUUAGACAGAGGUCAUCAGCUGGGUUGAUUCUGCGGGUUAGAUAGAGGUCAUCAGCUGGGUUGAUUGUGUGGGUUAGAUAGAGAUCAUCAGCUGGGUUGAUUGUGUGGGUUAGAUAGAGGUCAUCAGCUGGGUUGAUUGUGUGGGUUAGAUAGAGGUCAUCAGCUGGGUUGAUUGUGUGGGUUAGAUAGAGGUCAUCAGCUGGGUUGAUUGUGUGGGUUAGAUAGAGGUCAUCAGCUGGGUUGAUUGUAUGGGUUAGAUAGAGGUCAUCAGCUGGGUUGAUUGUACGGGUUAGAUAGAGGUCGUCAGCCGGGUUGAUUCCGCAGGUUAGAUAGAGGUCGUUAGCUGGGUGUGUGGGUCCCAAGGCGUGCUGCAGAUGGAGAAUCAGAAUUCCUUGGGCAUCACCGGGCGGGGCAUGUCCCUGUCCCUUCGCUCCCAGACCCAGGCUAGCCGCUACCAGGACUCCUAUCGAGAGCUCUUCAGACACUUUGUCAGAACCCUUAAAGGUGGGUGACGUUUUCAGGAGGAACCUGGGAUGUCCUGAUGCUCAAUGGGUAGAUGCCUUCCAGGCUGCAGUCAGUGCAGAUGAUAUGCCAAUUUCAGGUGGAAAAUUGCAUUCCAGAUACCGGGUUCAGAUUUGAAAUUGUCCAUCUCAGUGAUCAUUUACGUUGCGUGUACUUGAGGGAGAUUCUGAGAGAUGCUCCUUUGGGGUUCUGUGCGUGUACCAUGUUGCCUGACACGUCCUGAGAAAUCUUCUUAAACUCUGAGUUUAUAAAAUAACUACUUCUGAACUCCUGAGAUCUAGUGGAUACCAUGUAUCCUGGAAGAUAGGACACUUUCUACCCUCUGUCAGUCCUGGGGGUGACUGGGAACCAGAGAGGUUGAGCAGAAUUCCUGGACCUGGGUGGGGCUUGUCCAAGAGGGGCAGGUGGGCCUCUCUAGGAUCAGUGUCCCACCCAGAGGCCAGUGGCCCCUUCACAUGCCCCAACAAGAGGAAGACUGUCUGGCUCCGCAGUGUUGGGUUUUGUCCUGAAUCUGUGCAAAUGUGCAGGGAAAUAACCUCCUGAAAUCACCAAAGAGCAGUUCCUCAGGGCCUUCCGGGUGACCGUGGCCGUGGAGCAGUCGUGGUGAAACCGGUCAGCUGUGGACCUGCCCUGCGAAUCGGCAGAGGCCUCCGUGGUGAAGACAGAAGCUCCGUGAACCAACUCGAGGCUGGAGCCAAGAUCCUGCCUGAUAUCCAGUUGCCUGUUUCACUUGUUACUGUUACUGGGAGAGGGAGACAAAACCUCAUGGCAAUCUUGUCCUCACUGGAGACUCAGAAGGGGAAGCAUUGGGAAACCAUGUAUGUUUCAUUUCUGGUUUAACCAGGCUUUUCAGGAUGGGACUUCAGACCAAGGACACAAGUUGGGCUUGCUUAGGUGUUUUGUGUUGUGCGCAGGCCUCAGAGAUGCUCUUCCGGUCAGAGUUCCCUUGGCAGGGCCUUGGAGGCCUCUGGUUGGCUCUCUCAGGAAGAGGGCAGGUCAGGGAUUGGGCGGUGUAAAUUGACUCAGAAACCUGCGGUUUCAGCUUUUCUGUGGCAAACAGGGCCGAGGGCUGGUGAAGCUGUUAAGGCUAAAUGUCGCAUGCAUGAGGCGGGCUGCAGGCCUCCUUAGGCCUUUUUUGGGGUAAUUACACCAGUAUUUAAAAACAUUUUUUUUUGUUUGUUUUGAGAUGGAGUCUUGCCCUGUCACCCAGGCUGGAGUGCAAUGGUGCGAUCUCGGCUCACUGCAACCUCCGUCUCCCAGGUUCAAGCGAUUCUUCUGCCUCAGCCUUCUGAGUAGCUGGGAUUACACGCGUGUGCCACCACGCUCGGCUAAUUUUUGUAUUUUUAGUAGAGAUGGGAUUUCACCAUGUUGGCCAGGCUGGUCUCGAACUACUGACCUCGUGAUCCACCUGCCAUGGCCUCCCAAAGUGCUGGGAUUACAGGCGUGAGCCACCAUGCUCGGCCUAAAAAACAAUUUUCUUGAAGAAUCCGAUUUUGUGCAUAGUAAUGACACAGCACCAUUCCUGAGAAAUAGGAAAUAUAUGUGUGUGGUAUGAAAAGCCCAUAUUCUGUUCUUGUCACCUGAAUCUAGGCUUCCUCUUUGGAUGUGAACGCGGGAAUGAACAGUGGCUGUUUUCCACCCAAAGGGGCGUGGAGACCUUUUGGAAACGGGCUUUCUCCUUUCCAUUUUGCAGCCGGGGGCGGGUGGAAACCUUCCUUCGAAGGGUAGUGCCUUGGGGAGCAGCAGACCUGCUCUGAGUCCAGCUUAGCUUUCCAAAAUUCUGUGUGGAACUUACUGGAGAUGUUUUUAUAUAUUUGAAAAUAAUGGCCUGUAUUUCUCACGCUAUACUUAAAAAAAAUAACUAACCUUUUAAACAAAGAUAUUCAAACUCACCCUUGUGCUGAAA